CGCCCCCCAGAGUGUCUGCGCUCACCGGCUUUCCCGUUAGCCUGUUCGCAAGCGUUGAGGAGCUUGGGAUGCCUGGCCGACUUGUUUACGACCUGUCAGCUUCACCCAGUGCUUCUGUACCCUGGAAGAUCGCAUUCCAUGGCAUCUGAAGAGACCCAGGAUGCAACGUGUAGGUGUGGCAGGUGGUACAACCAGUGAACUGCGUCACCACAGAUCUGACCUCACAGCUUCUAUGUUGCAAGAUAAACCUAAAUUAAAAUAAAUCCUGCAAAACAUG